rnacentral:lncRNA from 1 species
CGGUGUAAAAAUAGAUUAGAGAAUCGCGGUUCAUACUGCUCCCUAAUGCAUGCCCAAGACGUAUCUGAUUGGUAGGUGCCUGAGCAUUGCUCUUUGUUAUGUUAUUCGCUCAGCCUUGCUUUGAUUCCAUUCGUUCGGGCAGGCGGUAAGGAAGAUUGAUUUGGAACCGCCGCUGGUUGCUGAACUUGAGAGACCCACGAGGAAAAAGUUCAUUUUUGCAUAAAGGUUGAUUUGGUUCCUCUCCUUUAUAGUCGAGUGACUUCGUUCCUCUUUCGAGUGGUCUUGUAGUAAACUCCUCUCCUUUCAGUAGAGUGGCUUGGACUCUUCCCCCUUUCUCAACUCAUAAUCCAGGGGAACGCUGCUUCGAUCUCCACGCCUCCUCCUUCGAUUGCUGCUCAGACGUUUUUUUUGCUUGAAAGCUUGAACUGCUACACAAAGGGAGGAUCAUUCAAAGGCUUAUAAAUGCGUACAUGUUUUCCCUCUCGGAUGAACAUCAUUGUUUGGAACUACAGGGAAUGGCGAACAUAUUUAGGUAUAAAGACUCACUCUUAUUGGAAUGGAACAUCACUUACUUAUGACAGUUGGAAUGUAAGA